CAAAAGCUGCCUUCAAAUGCAGCUUGGCCGUGAUUCACAGUGGGAAAAAAGCAGGAAUAGCCCUGCCAGGUCCCGGGAGCUUUAAGAUUCAUCGCAUUGAACUUGAUACAUACAGCAAAGCACCUUGAAAAUGAAUCAUUUGCUAGUUCAGUAUUUUCUCCGUACAAUCACUCCCUCCCAGGGCAUGUAAUUAAUUUCCUGAGCUUUGAAAAAAAAAAAA
rfam:Neotoma lepida isolate 417 scaffold_2519, whole genome shotgun sequence.